UAGGGAAUCUUCGGCAAUGGGGGGAACCCUGACCGAGCAACGCCGCGUGAGUGAAGAAGGUUUUCGGAUCGUAAAGCUCUGUUGUUAAGGAAGAACGAGUGUGAGAAUGGAAAGUUCAUGCUGUGACGGUACUUAACCAGAAAGGGACGGCUAACUACGUGCCAGCAGCCGCGGUAAUACGUAGGUCCCGAGCGUUGUCCGGAUUUAUUGGGCGUAAAGCGAGCGCAGGCGGUUAGAAAAGUCUGAAGUGAAAGGCAGCGGCUCAACCAUUGUAGGCUUUGGAAACUGUUUAACUUGAGUGCAGAAGGGGAGAGUGGAAUUCCAUGUGUAGCGGUGAAAUGCGUAGAUAUAUGGAGGAACACCGGUGGCGAAAGCGGCUCUCUGGUCUGUAACUGACGCUGAGGCUCGAAAGCGUGGGGAGCGAACAGG
rnacentral:rRNA from 1 species